rnacentral:rRNA from 1 species
CUCGUAGGCGGCUCAGUAAGUCGGGUGUGAAACCCCCAGGCUCAACCUGGGGACGCCACCCGAUACUGCUGUGGCUAGAGUCCAGUAGGGGAGUGUGGAAUUCCCGGUGUAGCGGUGAAAUGCGCAGAUAUCGGGAGGAACACCAGCGGCGAAGGCGGCACUCUGGGCUGGAACUGACGCUGAGGAGCGAAAGCGUGGGUAGCAAACA